UGCGGUCCUCGGUAGUGGCUUACGGAACGUGGUUGUCCGUGGGUCUCAAUCGAAGGCCGGC
rfam:Actinomyces coleocanis DSM 15436 SCAFFOLD5 genomic scaffold, whole genome shotgun sequence.